rnacentral:piRNA from 1 species
UGCGCAGAAACCUGGGCUCAGAGUGAA